UAGGGAAUCUUCCGCAAUGGACGAAAGUCUGACGGAGCAACGCCGCGUGAGUGAAGAAGGAUUUCGGUUCGUAAAACUCUGUUGUUAGGGAAGAAAAAAUGUAUAGUAACUAUAUACAAAAGAGACGGUACCUAACCAGAAAGCCACGGCUAACUACGUGCCAGCAGCCGCGGUAAUACGUAGGUGGCAAGCGUUGUCCGGAAUUAUUGGGCGUAAAGCGCGCGCAGGUGGUUUAGAAACUCUGAUGUGAAAGCCCACGGCUCAACCGUGGAGGGUCAUUGGAAACUAAUAAACUUGAGUGCAGGAGAGAAAAGUGGAAUUCCUAGUGUAGCGGUGAAAUGCGUAGAGAGUAGGAGGAACACCGGUGGCGAAAGCGGCUUUUUGGCCUGCAACUGACACUGAGGCGCGAAAGCGUGGGGAGCAAACAGG
rnacentral:rRNA from 1 species